GUAGGGCGGGACACGUGGUAUCCUGUCUGAAUAUGGGGGGACCAUCCUCCAAGGCUAAAUACUCCUGACUGACCGAUAGUGAACCAGUACCGUGAGGGAAAGGCGAAAAGAACCCCGGCGAGGGGAGUGAAAAAGAACCUGAAACCGUGUACGUACAAGCAGUGGGAGCACGCUUAGGCGUGUGACUGCGUACCUUUUGUAUAAUGGGUCAGCGACUUAUAUUCUGUAGCAAGGUUAACCGAAUAGGGGAGCCGAAGGGAAACCGAGUCUUAACUGGGCGUUAAGUUGCAGGGUAUAGACCCGAAACCCGGUGAUCUAGCCAUGGGCAGGUUGAAGGUUGGGUAACACUAACUGGAGGACCGAACCGACUAAUGUUGAAAAAUUAGCGGAUGACUUGUGGCUGGGGGUGAAAGGCCAAUCAAACCGGGAGAUAGCUGGUUCUCCCCGAAAGCUAUUUAGGUAGCGCCUCGUGAAUUCAUCUCCGGGGGUAGAGCACUGUUUCGGCAAGGGGGUCAUCCCGACUUACCAACCCGAUGCAAACUGCGAAUACCGGAGAAUGUUAUCACGGGAGACACACGGCGGGUGCUAACGUCCGUCGUGAAGAGGGAAACAACCCAGACCGCCAGCUAAGGUCCCAAAGUCAUGGUUAAGUGGGAAACGAUGUGGGAAGGCCCAGACAGCCAGGAUGUUGGCUUAGAAGCAGCCAUCAUUUAAAGAAAGCGUAAUAGCUCACUGGUCGAGUCGGCCUGCGCGGAAGAUGUAACGGGGCUAAACCAUGCACCGAAGCUGCGGCAGCGACGCUUAUGCGUUGUUGGGUAGGGGAGCGUUCUGUAAGCCUGCGAAGGUGUGCUGUGAGGCAUGCUGGAGGUAUCAGAAGUGCGAAUGCUGACAUAAGUAACGAUAAAGCGGGUGAAAAGCCCGCUCGCCGGAAGACCAAGGGUUCCUGUCCAACGUUAAUCGGGGCAGGGUGAGUCGACCCCUAAGGCGAGGCCGAAAGGCGUAGUCGAUGGGAAACAGGUUAAUAUUCCUGUACUUGGUGUUACUGCGAAGGGGGGACGGAGAAGGCUAUGUUGGCCGGGCGACGGUUGUCCCGGUUUAAGCGUGUAGGCUGGUUUUCCAGGCAAAUCCGGAAAAUCAAGGCUGAGGCGUGAUGACGAGGCACUACGGUGCUGAAGCAACAAAUGCCCUGCUUCCAGGAAAAGCCUCUAAGCAUCAGGUAACAUCAAAUCGUACCCCAAACCGACACAGGUGGUCAGGUAGAGAAUACCAAGGCGCUUGAGAGAACUCGGGUGAAGGAACUAGGCAAAAUGGUGCCGUAACUUCGGGAGAAGGCACGC
rnacentral:rRNA from 1 species